GUGGAGGGAAGGUCAGCAGAUAAACAAGUGAACAAAGGUCUCUGGUUUUCCUAGGCAGAGGACCCUGCGGCCUUCCGCAGUGUUUGUGUCCCUGGGUACUUGAGAUUAGGGAGUGGUGAUGACUCUCAACGAGCACGCUGCCUUCAAGCAUCUGUUUAACAAAGCACAUCUUGCACCGCCCUUAAUCCAUUUAACUCUGAGUGGACACAGCACAUGUUUCAGAGAGCACAGGGUUGGGGGUAAGGUCACAGAUCAACAGGAUCCCAAGGCCGAAGAAUUUUUCUUAGUACAGAACAAAAUGAAAAGUUUCCCAUGUCUACUUCUUUCUACACAGACACGGCAACCAUCCAAUUUCUCAGUCUUUUCCCCACCUUUCCCCCCUUUCUAUUCCACAAAACCGCCAUUGUCAUCAUGGCCCGUUCUCAAUGAGCUGUUGGGUACACCUCCCAGACGGGGUGGCGGCCGGGCAGAGGGGCUCCUCACUUCCCAGUAGGGGCGGCCGGGCAGAGGCGCCCCUCACCUCCCGGACGGGGCGGCUGUCGGCCACUUUCAAUCAGCCCAACCUCAGAGAUGACAACAACAAAGUUGGCCAACCAGUGGACCAGGGUCCCCUGGGGGUCACCCCUGACACAGUCUCCCAUCCACUGCAGUCCCCUGAGUUGGCACUGCCUGCCUCCCAGAUGGUGGACUCACUCAAGACACCCGAG
rnacentral:lncRNA from 1 species